GCCACGGUGGUCUAGCGGUUAGAACGCUGGCCUUGUAAUCCUGGGGUCUCGGGUUCGAUUCCCGUCGGUGCCC
rfam:Zootermopsis nevadensis contig22543, whole genome shotgun sequence.